rnacentral:rRNA from 1 species
UACAGAGGAUGCAAGCGUUAUCCGGAAUGAUUGGGCGUAAAGCGUCUGUAGGUGGCUUUUUAAGUCCGCCGUCAAAUCCCAGGGCUCAACUCUGGACAGGCGGUGGAAACUACCAAGCUCGAGUACGGUAGGGGCAGAGGGAAUUUCCGGUGGAGCGGUGAAAUGCGUAGAUAUCGGAAGGAACGCCGGUGGCGAAAGCGACGUGCUGGACCUUUUCUGACGCUGAUGCGCGAAAGCCAGGGGAGCAAACGGG